UAGAGUUUGAUCAUGGCUCAGGAUGAACGCUAGCGGCAGGCUUAAUACAUGCAAGGCGAAGGGGCAGCAAUGUCACUGUCGUACGGGUGCGUAACGCGUAUGCAACCUACCUAUCACUGGGGGAUAGCCCGGGGAAACCCGGAUUAAUACCGCAUAACACAGGGGUCCCGCAUGGGUACUAUUUGUUAAAGAUUUAUCGGUGGUAGAUGGGCAUGCGUUCGAUUAGCUAGUUGGUAUGGGUAACGGCCUACCAAGGCGACGAUCGAUAGGGGAGCUGAGAGGUUGAUCCCCCACACGGGCACUGAGAUACGGGCCCGACUCCUACGGGAGGCAGCA
rnacentral:rRNA from 1 species